GCCUACCUGCAGCUCAGUGGUAAAGCACCUGCCUUGCAUGUAGAAGGCCCCAAGUUCAAGCCCCAGCAUCUCAAAGUGGGCC